UAAACUAGGAUUAGAUACCCUAUUAUUUUAAAUGUUAAUUUUAUAGUACUGAAUUAUUAAUAGUUAUGUUCUUUAAAAUUAAAAAAUUUGGCGGUAUUUUAGUCUUUUCAGAGGAACCUGUCCUGUAAUUGAUAGUCCACGAUAAUAAAUACUUUAUUUUUUAAUUUAUAUAUCGUCGUAAAUUUGAAUAUUUUAAAAGAAAUUAAAUAUUCAAGAUUUUAAAUUAAAAAUAAAAUCAGAUCAAGGUGUAGUGAAUAAUAAAGUAGAGAUGGGUUACAUUAAAUUUAUUUUAGGAUUAAUUUUUUUAAAAAAUUUUGAAUUUGGAUUUGAAAGUAAUUUUUUGGAUUUACUAAAGAUGAUUUUAGCUCUAAAAUAUGCACACAUCGCCCGUCGCUCUUAA
rnacentral:rRNA from 1 species